CCCGGGCCUUGUACACACCGCCCGUCAAGCCAUGGGAGCUGUUUGUACCCAAAGUCAGUUUGGUUAACCGAAAGGAGACCGCUGCCAAAGGUAUGGAUGGUGACUGGGGUU
rnacentral:rRNA from 1 species